UUUUAUAUAUAAUUAACGGUUAAAAUUAACGAAAUGACUUAAUUGUUUAAAGAAUUAAAUUAUACAAAUUAAAGUCCACAUUUUAAAAUACAAGAAUGAAAAAUAUUAAUAAUGAUAAAACCAAGAACUAGAGAGUAAAUUACCUUUGAAAUGUAUCCCUCUCUCUCUCUAUCUAUAUACAAAGUGUUAAAAUUGUCUUCCAAUGAAUACAACAGGAAAAGGCCUGGCAGUCCGGACUAUACUUCCUCUGGAAAUAUCUUAUAAUAUCACUGAACAGACCUUGACAAUAGCCAGCAGCAAAGCACUUUAUGCAGAGUCGGAUUGAAGCGUUCUGUCAGAAAGUGUACUGCAUCUAACGAAAAUUACACAGGCGGGCUCAACUUUUUAAACCGUUCCUAUCAAAUCAAAUCAAUCAAUAACAGGUAAGGACAACCAACAAGCUUUAGAUCAGUGGUCGGUGGUCAUCAAACUGUGAGAUUUGAGUUUGAAUCAUAGUUAAUGCCAAUUGCACCAAGAAGAAAAAAAAAUGGUGAGGUCAAACAAUCACGCACAUCCUUCGUCCACGUUAGAAAUACAGCAAAAUAGCUCCACUUAGGAGACGACAGUGGAUUCCUUAUGCCUUGGCAUCAUAAAAACCAAUUGCAACUUGCCUGCCUGACAUUGUUUUGCAGGAUUUUGGAAUAAUGUGACCUUUGCUGUAUUAUUACUUAGAAGAACCACAUGAGCAAUGCUAUAAGAAUCACCUUUUUCAACUGCAAAUUGCCACUCUCUCAUUGAUAUGAUGAACCAGUCCUUCCUUGCAGAUUUUGUUGCUUUUACUUCGAAGUACUCUUUCCUAUUUUCCUCCUCCUCUAUAACUAUAUCAUAGGGCAACCCAGUUUCUUUGUCUUCAUUAACCCACUUCACUACUUUCUCACCAAAUUUUUCAGUUAAAUAUUUGAAAGCUACACGCUCCCCCAGUCUUCCAGUAAGCAGUAAUUGUGCGGCAUUAGCAGUCCCAGUGUUCAACUUCUCUCUCCUGAGUUCAGGGACAUCAGCAAUGAGAGUUAAGCCAAUAGGGUCAGAUGCAAAAUCCAAAUUUACAGUCUGAUUGCAAGCAUGAGCAGAAUGUUUGUCCACACUUUCAGAGUCUGGUAAAAUUGAUCCUGCCGUGUCCUCUUCUAUGGUCCAAUCUGUAUCAAUCUCAAUUGGCACCGAGGUAUCUGUUUGAAUGAUAAUGUCCUCUGAAUCAUCCUCCUCAGUCUUGCAUGAACUGCUAGGAUGCGAUACAACGGCCUGAGUUUUAAAACCAUUUGCACGAGCAUAACCAAAACCUGGUGCAGUUUUCCAAUCCACAGGUGGCCAAUUAGAGCUGAUUCCCACUUUCCUCUUGUACUUAGACAUCUUCUGAUCAUUUAUUGCUGUUGAUGCAGUACCUAUCUUAAGUGAUUCAUCAUUCUCUGUCAAAGUACAAAUAGAUGAGAGUGACCAAGCAGAUUCAUCAUCAGGAAGCUUUGGCACCUUUUGGCUGUUUACAAUGAAGAACUCUGUUUGGUCUUCUGUGGAGCCAGAUUCUACCAUUGUUGUGAUCAUAUGAAGGAAAUUUGCCAAGUGUAAAUCUGAAGUACCCUCAAAGAACAAACGAGAAAGCUCCAAAAAGAGCACAUGUGAAUCUGAUUCCGAAGUUGUGUACAAUGUAUUACCCUGCAGAAGACAGCUACAUUCAUAUCGCUUCUUAGAUGCACUGCCACAGCUUUUUAUCACAUUCCUGUAGAAUAACUUCUCAACAACAGUAAUCUUUAGCUGCUCAAGAUUAUCCAAUCCAGACAGCUUAAAUUGGAGAUACUUAUCAGGGUGUACACUAUAGAUAUAGCGCUGAGCAUAAGGAAGUGCCCAGUCAACCAAUGCAGCUUUGAAGCUACAGUCUGAUGGACCAUAGUAUAUUGCUUCUCGAGUUAUAAUCUCUGACAGAGCAGGAAUCCCUAAAUUAUGCAUCAGGUCAGAGACCUUAGUUUGAAGCAUCUCUUCCUCAUAGUCACUAAGAUUGCCGAAGUACAGGAAAUCAAUGUUGUCCAGAUCCUUAAAGAUCUUCUUCAAAUUCUUAUCAUCACACCAGCACACUAGGCCAAAUGAAGGGUGCAAUGAAACCCACUUAUCUUGUAUAGUGGGAAGUAUCGUAUAUUCUACUUUUAGAAGACAUUCUUUCAUGUAAAUGAUAUCUUCAGAGCUGAGUAAAUCAGAUUUCAGCCCAUCAGUCCACUUCAGAAAGACUUGGAAAACUGUACUAGCUGCCUGUGAAGGCAAAGCAACAGUUGAUAACUGACGUAAAAUAUCAAAAUAGCUACGGCAAGAAGGGAUCUCGUGUACUCCACACUCUUUAACAAAAAAGUCAUGAAGUCCUGAAUAAACAUUGCACAACGUCUUGCUUAAGGGCCGCUGAGGCACACCUGUCAAACCACAUUGAGGAUGAACCUCCUUCAUGUUGUUGAUAGAACCAGUUGGAUCAUGCCAAUAAACUUCUUCAGAAGACAAGAAUACACCGGACACUAGAUCCUCGUGCCUUGAACCAGAUUCAUAUGGAACAAAAAUAAAUGAAACGGAAAGCAGUGCCUCUAAAACUUUCUUCUUUGAAGCAGCCAUUUCAUCCCAGAUAAAUGUGUAUAAUUUAGACAUUUGUGUUAUGCUGGCCUUGAAAGGGGUCUCUGAUUCCCUCCAUAUUCUUAAAACUUCCAGGGCAUCAUCAAGAGUAACUUUAGUCUUAAAGCCAAUAUCCCCCAACAGCUUUGUGCUUCUUACCUUUGGAAGAGCAUAUGGAGCAGAACCACCCAGGAUAGAGUGUACCACAUCGCUAUCAUAGAAUAAAUCUUUGGGGUAGUGGAGCUCAUCAUCUAUGCUUGAUACCACCCACUGAACAUCGUGGAUGCUGCCUAAAAAGGAAGACUUAAAUGUUCUGCCAUCAACACUAGAUUUUGAAAAGCAGUAACCAGUGGCUUUGUCACUGAAGUUAUCAUCCCAUAGCGUGUCAAGAACCUCUAAGAGAUAUUUACAACGUUCCCUAUCACCGCUCAUGGACAAGUGCGACAAUAUUUGCACUAACUCAUAGGAUUCCCAAUCUUUGACUACUGAUCCAGGGGAAAUGAGCUCUGUAUCCCAUGUUAUAUUCUUCGAAACAGUAUGAUAUAAAUCUGAAAUACCUUUUUCAAUUGGCUCAACUCGCACAAAAUCUGUGACACCAAUUUCCUGGAAAAAACCUCUCCACUUCAUCAACCCAUUAAAGAGUGAAUCAUUUCCUGGAUGCUUCAAAUAGGUGAUAUCAACCUCAUGCCAUUUCAUAUCUACAACAUUAACCAAUUUAUUUAUAUUGAUAGGAUUUCCAUAUUCUUUACUAAAAUGAAUGGAUGUCUCAACAGGUCUUCUAUAUCCAAGAUUUGUCAAUAUAUAAGCUUUAUUUUGUAACUCAGAUAUAAUGUACUUCCUUUCAACACAACAAUGAGAGCAGUUAGAUUGUAGGUGUAUCAUCACAAAGCAGAGAUAAUCUGUCAUUAAACCCUCAUCACUAUUUGUGAUUCUGUAAUCAGAUAUCGAUGGUAAAAUGUGAACCUUGACAAUUUCAUGUGCAGAAAGCUGUUGAACACCAAUUUUCUGAAGCAUCCUAGCACUAUUGUCUACUAAAGUCCCAUCAACAGCUGAUGCAGAAAAGAGGGCAGGAUUUACAGUCUGAAGUUUAACAUAUAAUUGUGGAAACGCCACAAGUUCCUGUGCACCAUCAAACCCAGUACUUAAAAUAUCAGAAUGUAACCAAAUUGUACCCCUAUCAACUGAGCUGUAUGUACCAUCGGAAAGAGGAAUAAAUGGAAUCCGCUGAAGCUUAUCUAUAAGAUCGGUUGAUCCGGAAGAAUGGGAAAACAUUAUAUAAACAGCACUUAGGAAAGAAGAUAACCAACCAAAACCCAUUGUCUUUAAGCCAUUUUCUGUAUGGCAUAAACAAGCUAUAAAUUUUAUUAGAAUUUCUGGUCCAUACUCUGCAAUACCCAGUGCCUUUGCGAGUGAAUCAGACAACACUAUAUUCUUAUCUAAGAAUCCAAGGCCAAGGUGUUCUUGAAGCAAGCCAUCAGGUAGAAGAAUGCGAGCUUGUUCAUUCCAACCUCUCAAAACAUUGCAUGGAGGAACCAUCUUACAAUUGUCCCCUUCCAGAAGGAGGCAGCUUGUCCUUUGUAAUUCUAAAGCAAUUGCUUUAGGAAGCGCAGAAAAAAAACCAUGCACCUCCCCAACAAGUGGGACAAAGCUCAUAUAAGCUGUCACAGCUUUUCCUGGAUUCUCCCUAAAACAAGAAAGAGCACAAAAUGAUCUCUCUGCAUUAACAAACAAACCAGGAAACUUUGUCAACAACCACUCAUUCCAGGGAUCAUUCUUAUCCACUUCUUCUCUGGAUGAAGGAAGAACAAAGUCGCCUUGGAGAAUAAAUUUCAGACCAUAUGUCCUUAGUGGAAGAAAAGAAAAAACAGGCUGUUGGUCCAAACGUGGAUGGUAAUCCCCAUUAUCUGAUUCCUCCAGUGUAAAUGCUAUAGCUAUUUCAGUUGUCUGAACUUUAGGACGACCGGCACAUGCCUGCAACUUCUGAGAGGCAACAAGCCAAGUCAUUUUAUCUUUUCCACAUGAAACCUUGAUAAUACCAUCUUGCAAAACUUCUUUCCUCAUCACAACAAGUGAAUCAUUAACAACAUUACGGAACAUAAUACACUGAAGCCGAUGAAGAAAGAGUAGUAAAGAAGGAUGAAGAUCUGAAAAAAUUUUCAUGGCAGUUCCUUCUGAUAACUGUGACCGGAAAGGAAGCACAAUACAAGUAUUCCAACACUUCUUAUCCAUUUGACCAGUCUCCCCAAACACCAGUCUGCUAAACAAGUCAACAUUGCAAGGAGGUACAACUGUGGGCAAAACAAAACCAAUCUGACCUUCACUUACAUCAAAUUUGAUAUGAAAACCAUUGGAAUGAAUCUCUGGAGCAUCCGUUACCCGAAAGACUGAUUUGAAGCCAAUUCCUUUCUGCCCUAUGUAUCCAGUGCCAGAUCCUUUCUUGGUCGAAUUUCCAACAUCACAAAGAGCUCUGAUAUUUUGAGCAGAGAAGCCCCGCUCAUUAUUUAAAACAAUAACACCUGAUUCUUGAAGAAUGAAUGUAAGAGUCGGUUCCACGCAUUCAGGAUAGAUAUUAUCAUCAGCAUUUUGAACCAGCUCAAGAAGAAAAUGAGAAUCCUCAGAGUACAAUUCCUGAGAAAGACAAUGAAGUGCUCUCCCUAAGCGAGCAUGUUGCUUUCUCAGCAUGGUGCUCUCCAUGCAUGAAAGAUUCGGAUCCAAACCAAAUUCAUCUCUCCUGAUAGAUUCAAUUACCAGGGCUGCAUCCUUCUGUUUGUCAAGUUCAGAUGAUUCUUCUGCACAACCAAUGCCAAUUUCAUUGCUGGAAACUAUAUCUUGAAUUGUGAGACUAGUUUCAGUAACUGCUUCAUUAUGCACAUCUUCAUGAUGUACAAUUGUUUCCCCAUCACCACAAGAAGACCUAUCCAGUACAUUUUGGGUAUACCUCAAGCCUGUGCUUACUGCAGAUCCAGCAGCUUCCAAGUGUGCCGGCUCAGAAGAUGUGAACAAGUCGGUGGUACCAGUUAAACAAAAUGCGUGGUAAUCGUCAAUCCACUCCACUAUGCCAAUAGAUAACCCUAUUUCAUGAAGCAUGACACGUUCUUCUUGGUUGCAUUCAAACAAUAUGGCUGAAGGGGCAUCUUUAAUCACAGACUGCAUUCCAGAAAGCAACACACCAGCUGCAAAACCACGAAAUUCUGAAGGCAGAUAGGCGAGAGAAUCAAGUACAAAUCUUGAAGCAACAGGCACCACCUGAUUCAUUUGGAUUGAGUUUUUAUGCAAUUCACCACUUAAAUUAUUAGCACCCUCAUCAACUAUUUUUCCAAGCAAUAAAUAAUUGUUAUUGUCCUGUACUGCCUUAUUUUCAAAAUGAUUCUUCAAAAUGACAUCAAAUGCAUGGCGUGCAUAACAUUUUAGAAGGGACAAAGGAACAUGCUUUUCCCCGCCAGCCAAUGAUAACAAGGAUAACAGUUUGACUGCUGUUUGGAAGGAUGAUCGCUGAAGUGCAGCUUCCAAGAAUGAAUCUACAUUAGCAGACUGAUCAAUUCGAAUCACCUUACCAUCCUUUGUUACCAAGCACAACAAUUCUUUGGCACUCACCUCAUUCAACAACCAUCCCACAAGAGGACCAAGAGAAGGAGCAAAUAUGAGGUCCCAAUGUGACCAUGAGUUUAAAUCAGAUAACAAAGGUGCCCUAAGCAAAACUUCAAUUGCAUUCUUAGAGGUAGCAGAAUCAUUCUGGCCGUUGUUGGUUCUUAUUCCAGUGCUUUCCACAAUAUCAUCUUCCUUUAACGGAUCUCCAAUGUGAUGAUUUUCUAACAAUGUUGCAGAAAACACAACACAUUUUGAAAUCACAUUAUUCUUAUUUUCACCUACAAUGUGCAGGAAGUCUUCGAUUGAUCCAUUCUCCAUAAUUUUAAAACUAAGCAUAGGAAAUUGCUUUACAAGCAAUGCAGAAAUCAUCUUCUUGGAGAUAGAUUCACCCUCACAUAAACUAUUUGAAGCCUGUGAUACUAACACCAUCAACUGAUGCUGAAGCAGGGAAACCUCCACAGGAGACUUUUCACAUGUGUCACCAGCUAAGAGCUUCUGUAAUUCAGUAGGUAAUAGAGAGGCAUGUUUCUCUAGGAAAAUGAAAAACUCCCCAUAACCAAGGGACUUGAAUUCCUUAAUACAAAAUUGGUCAACCAGCCAGAACUCACAACUGCACACCUUCUUCACAGAAAUAAAUUUGUCCUCUGGAAGAAAUUUUCUAUUACUCACAAACUUGUGAUCAAAUUCAUAAUACUCAUUAAUUUUCCCCAGAACUUCUUCAACUGUAACACCACGUGUUUGCUGCAGACUAUGGUCAGGGACAACUGGUUUCUGCUUUUCACCUGGUUCAACAUCAAUGCUCUCGUAUUCAGAAAGGGUGUUGGGCGAUUCAUGUUGGGUAAAGGCUUGGAAAGUAUCAUAGAUGCUAUCCAACAUUCCACAUUUCAUAGAUGUCACAGCAACAUUGAGUAAUCCAAUACAUGGGUAGGACAAAAACAAUGACUUGAUUUUUUUCCUUUGUUGAGAAGCCUUCCUAUCAUUCGAGGGUUUAUAAAACUGAAGCAUUCUCUCGAGAACCUCAGCCACAGUGUGCUCCUUGCAUGCCUCCUUCCAGGUUGUGAUAAACAUUCUCAUGGAGUUAUCAGAAAUUGAAAUAUCAUCUUCAUUUACGAUGGUGACCUCCUCAGCAUCAUUGUCAUUUUCAAUUUUAUGAGUAUUGUGUUUCCCUGUUUCUUGUUUACACAAUUUGGAGGGAGCAGAGGCAGUGCAACUUACAUCUUCCAAUUUCCUUUUCUUUCUACGUGAUCCACCAUACCUUUUGUGCCUCAAGCUGCUACUAAGUGGAGAAGAUUGGCCACCCAUUUCACCCUUCAAACCCAGCCGUGACAUUUCUUCGGUUGCAGACGGGUAAGGACAGCUACUCACCCUAUCAGUACUAUUGACAUUCUGCAAUGAGAAGGGCCUCCCCUCAUCACUGCUAUUCAUUUUAUCAUCAUUUGUACUAUCAUCACUUUCUUCAUCCUCUGAGCAUGAUGAAUCAAAUCUUAUGUGCUUUCCACGGAAAUCCUUGUGUGCUGAAGCAAAAGAUUCAACGCGCUGAGACAUGGCAGAAAAACGUUCAUCCAGAUCCUUUUUCUGUGUGGAUAAAAGAGGACGUUUCCGGCAUUUAUUACCAGAUCCAUUCCGUGAUGUCUUGGCUUCAGAUUUUCUUUUCAAUGUCUUCAGACAUUUCUUUAGAGUACUAUUUUUAGAUCUCUUGGCCUCCCUAAUAAAAGAAAUAUGCAUUCCCAAGCCUUGAAUACGCACACCAAGAUUUCCCUUUCCCUUGACAGAUUGCUUCUUUGCAAUGAAAUCCAGAAAUUCAUCAAUAUUUAUUUCUUUUUUGCUAAAAGUACUCAUGUACUCAUGAAGGCUCAAGAUAAUGUCCUCAGUAGUUAUCUUCAACACUUCAGUUGCAUCAGAAUUCACUGAAAAAUAAUGCAAGACUAGUGGAUGUCGCAGCAAAGGGCCCAAUUCCAGUUCUUCAAACUCCUCAAUACCCUCAUUCUCGCAAAUUGCCACUUCCAAAUCAUACAAUGAUGUAAUUCUCCGGACCCCAACAAAGCAAUGAAUAAAUGCAUUAACCUUCCCUUCAGUCAGAAUAAGCCGGUGCAGCGAUGGCACCUCCUGCAUUCGAAACCCCAAAGAGUCCCACGAGUCAACCUGCAGAGUCACAAGCGCAGCCUGUGACACUUUCCAUGCUGAAACACUCUCUCCGGCCGCAAGAAGAUCCUGCCAGGCCUUCUCCGCUGCUCGGUCAACUCUCUCAAGAAGUUCUUUCCGUUUGUGUUUUUUCGUAUUUUGACGAGGCAUGAAUUGAACUUGUUGCUGAGCUGAGUUGUGAGGAUGUUGCUGUUGUUGUUGUUGAGCUAAAUCAUGCUGCGCCUUCUCCACUUCUCGCUCACCUCUCUCGUGUUUUUGCCCUUUCUGUUUCAACUGUUCUGCAUUUUGAGGAGAAGGCAAGUUUUGACCUCCUUUUUGAGCUGAGUUCUGAGGAGGUUGUUCCUGCUGUUGUUGAGCUAAACCGUUGGAGAUUUGCUGCGGAGGAGGGAUAUUGGUAUUUUGGAUUGGAAAAUAAGGAUUUUGGAUUGGGAAGUUAGGGUUUUGAUGGACAGGAAAGUAGUUUUGUUGAGGGGCGAAACCAUGGAUCAUAGCAUUAGCCAUGCUCUGUAAGUAAAUGUUUUGGAGGGCGAGAUUGGGGUCCAUAUUUAGAGGAGGAGAUUGUAACGGUAGCGAUGGCGAUGGUUGGCCGCGGCCUCGGCCACCUCCGCCGCCUCCUCGCCGGAAGUGGGGACGGUGCCCGUUCAUUGGAGGUAAUAAAGAAGAAAAAAUCAACUGUCGAAGGAAAGGGUUUUAGAGACUGACUCUGUGAUUUGC
rnacentral:misc_RNA from 1 species